UUGUCCACAGGUGGACACCAUCUCAAAGACCCUCCACAGAGAGCAAGCUUCCAGAUGUGGUGGCCAAGGCAGGCUUUAGAGAGGAGAAAGCAUACGGACCGAGCCUUGAAAGCUGCCCAGGGUGUGAACAGGAAGAGAUGGCUGUGGCCACAUGUGGGAGGCUUCCAGGUGGAGUCUGCAGCCAUUGCAAAGGGAGAGAAUGCAAGUCACAAAGAAGGGAGAGUUGUUAACUUUGGCUGAAACAUGGAUUUGUGCAGAAAUUGCUUUUCAUGAAGUAAACAAACAUAAAUAAGGUUUUUUGACUAGUUGCAAAACUCCAGUGGUGAACAGUACACACAGCAUUUCUGAUGUAAUCCCUACUUACAUAAACCAGAAUGUUCCUAAGAGAUUUAGGCCGAAGUUGAUUUUCCUCUCUCCUGUUAAUGUCCUGAGUGUCCCUGGCCUACUCUGGACAUACAAUUUCUUAAGCUUGGACACCACAAACUUCACACUUAAAAGUGAAGUCUUCACUGAAAAGGAUGAAAAGCAGAAACAUUUUAAGAAGCAAUAUUUUUGAAAGCUUACAAUCAGAAGGAGUAGAGCAAAAUAUUACAUUCUUAUGCUCAUUUUGGCCUGUGAAGUUUAAAAAAGAACACUUAAUCACAGCUGUCUUUUCUCUGGAUUUUAAAAAAUCCUUGACUUGCUUUCUCAGUCCUAUGUAAUAUAUACAAAAAGUAUAUAAUAUGUAAAAUAUGUUGUAUAUGUAAGAGAAGAUCUGAUAUUUGCCAUUUUUUCACAUUGACACAUAUUGGCACCUAGUAAUGUAUCUAAUUUAAUUUUAGAUGAAGCUAAACUCUUGGAGCCCCAGAUAAGUCAGAAGAGGCCAACUAGCCACCUCCCGGAAUCAUAUUUUAUUCCUUCCCUAUUUCUACAUCUCUUUCAGUGGAUGUUAACAAGAAGUUUUACGUAUUUAAUUCUUAAAGAGAGAGUUAACACCGACGUAUAUAGCAGUAAGUCAAGAAAGAAGCGUUUAGAAUCGCUGUGCCCCAACCAAAAACUGGUCAGAUUAAUUAAAAGUUGACCACAAAAAAGUAGGUGAAAUGUGGGUGAUGACAAGAAAUCAACUCUGCAAGGAGAGGAGGGUCAAGGAAGGUGGGAGAAGCCAGAAUAGUCCAAAGAAAAAGGUGUUUCAAUUACUUUGGUGCCAUCUGGUUGCAAAAGGGCCACGGGUGCCAGAGCUGCCAAACAUCGUGGGUGAGAAGCAAAGGUUUGCAGGGCAGGAAGACCAGAAGUCAGAGAGCACAGACACACAUAUACACAGGAGAGUUUUUAAUCUUUUUAAUCACUUUUCCAUCAUUGCUUUGUUUACACCUACAUGACAUUAGAAGCGCAAGCACAUUUGAAGAAGAAAUCAGUUAGAAAGUUUAAAUAUGAAUAUUUAAAUCAAUCGAGAACAAUUCAGAAAAGCACCUUUGUCCCACCCACUGCUGUGACAGACCGGAACCUGAGAUUAUUUUAUUAUCUACAGUAACCGCUGCCGCUGACUAACAAAUCAGUUCACAAUACCUUCUC